rnacentral:tRNA from 1 species
GGGCGGCUGGCCUAAUGGUAAGGCGCUAGAUUUCGGUAUUUCGCGGAAGCUCUAGAGAUUGCAGGUUCGAUCCCUGCGUCGCUCA